rnacentral:lncRNA from 1 species
GUUCACCUUCUCAGGGUAGACACCAUCCUUAGGAUGCAAGUACUGCACCUCUCCAUUGGGGAACACCCUGUAAAACUGGUACUUGAUCUUGUACUUGGACCUUAGCCUAGUCCCGAGAGCCAAGCACUGCUCCUUCCUGGCCAGCUUGAGCAAGUUAGGGCCUUCCCUCAUGAUGGCAGCACCCCCAGUCGGCAUUUCAAAUAUCUGUUCCUUGGGGGAGUCCCAUGUAAUCACAUAAAACUCCUCCACCUGGGCUUUCCUCAACAGCCCACCAGUGCUUCCACCAAAAAUUGGUGAUGGGGUACUCGGGUCCAACUCAGGU